CGAUCACUGGCCAACGUGGUUCGCCGUAGAAGUCACCAGUAUCGUCGGCUAAAAUCGUCAAGUGGGCCGCACCAUCAUCGAAGAGGAUGCCGGACAUUGAGGGUCGUUGCUGGAGGAACGACAUUGUCCGCAAUGGAGGUUUUAGGAGGGUUCCGUCGUCGCCGAAGAGGACUACUGAAUGUCGUGGAUCGUCGUUGGAGCAACGGGAAUCUCCGCCCAUCCCCGAGCUACACGCCCAUUAGGUCGAUGGAGGAAAAAAGAUGGUACGGUUGAGUAUUGCCUAUUGGCAUUUUUCUACUUUAUUCCGCGUUAUUCGUGUAUGGUAGAAACUGUUGCUCUUGUCAUUUAUUCCUUCCCGUUAUUUUCCCUUAAACAUUACGGCGUACGGUUUAACUUUCACCGAGGACGCAAAUUCACUACACCUAUAGACCACGGUUCGUUCACGGUUUGUUUGCGUUUUUGCACGGUUUGUUUGCGUUUUUACACGGUUUGGGAUUAGUGGAUCGGGUAAUGUAGUUCUUCUUUCAUUGGUUUUAUGCCAAGUAUUUAGUUGGUGCAGGUUUACUAACACUUGCUACUUCUAAAAUAAAAAGUAAAACAAAUUAAAUAUAUUUUAUGUCUGCAUGCUCUUUUUUGAGUAUGGUUUCGUGACCACUGUAAUACAGGAAUAAAUUAAUAAUCGCGUGCGGUCUGGUUGCUAACCCCGAUUUGACAACCCGAUAAAAACGUGAUGGGGCAGUAACCCUUCUAACCUGCCCCAUAGACAAGAAUAAAUAAUUCGCUGAACAACAAACCGGUUCGAGCGAAACGGGUUUGUUGGGCUCAUUGGCCCUACAGUUUUUCUCAACGGAUUUGGAGGUAUUGCAACGCUGUCUUUUUUGAGUUUUCGUCUAUAUGCAAGAUAUAUCCUACAAACUGACAAGAAUAACAAAGUUGUUCAAUUAACUGGAAAUGUGUAUGUGGGAAAGUGAGACAUGUCGUCGUGACUUAAAAAUUAAUGCUCAGCGAAAAAAGAUAUUAGGAGCAAAUUAUGAGGAAUUGAAAUUUAUAAAAUAUUUCUUACCGAUUGGGUUUUAUUUAAUAAACCACCCCACGGAAAAUAAUAAAAAUAAUUGAUGUAAAAUAUAAAGCACUUCUA